GAUGAACGCUGGCGGCGUGCCUAAUACAUGCAAGUCGAGCGAACAGACGAGGAGCUUGCUCCUCUGACGUUAGCGGCGGACGGGUGAGUAACACGUGGAUAACCUACCUAUAAGACUGGGAUAACUUCGGGAAACCGGAGCUAAUACCGGAUAAUAUAUUGAACCGCAUGGUUCAAUAGUGAAAGACGGUUUUGCUGUCACUUAUAGAUGGAUCCGCGCCGCAUUAGCUAGUUGGUAAGGUAACGGCUUACCAAGGCAACGAUGCGUAGCCGACCUGAGAGGGUGAUCGGCCACAUGGGAACGGAGACACGGUCCAGACGCCUACGGGAGGCAGCAGUAGGGAAUCUUACGCAAUGGGCGAAAGCCUGACGGAGCAACGCCGCGUGAGUGAUGAAGGUCUUCGGAUCGUAAAACUCUGUUAUUAGGGAAGAACAAAUGUGUAAGUAACUAUGCACGUCCUGACGGUACCGAAUCAGAAAGCCACGGCUAACUACGUG
rnacentral:rRNA from 1 species